GAUUUUCCCUGCUCUGUUAGGCGCUCCAUCCUCUGAUUUGAUGGCGGCCGAUCUGAGAAAUAAUAGGAGCAAUAAUCCAGCAGUAGAAUUUGGUGAAGAAGAACAAGAAAAGAAUACCUUUAUCCUGAUAGGCAUGGAAACACCGGUUCGCAUUGAGUGCAUCAUCGCUAAUCAGCUACUAUUAGAGAGCAAGGGACAUAUAAGAAAUCUCCAGGCAGCUUCGCUUAGAUGCAUCAUCUUCUGCUAGGACCUACCGACCUAGGAGUCAUCUUGAAGAACGACCUUCUUAGUUUAAUUCUUUACAGAGAACCUGUUGCACUAUAACUUUGGUUUAAUCUGUCGAUAAUGCCCAUGAGUAUAUUCUUAGUGUAUGUUUGACCAGAUUGUUUUAACUUAUGUUGUUCCUAUGCUUCAGGAGACUGCAACUGACAUGCUGGAUGGUGAGUAACCAAAUUUGUGGAGAAAGACAAAGAAUUCAUCGCAAGGGGUGGUGUUUAAGAUAUAUAUACACAAAAGAGGAAACUUUCUUUUGUACAGAACCAAAUUAUAUGAUGUAAUUGACCACUAUUUCUAAGAAAUGUUCAUCGUGUAUUAAGUACAUUUUAUUGUGUCACUUUUUUUGAGGGGUAGCUUUAUUCAUCAAACAUCACAAAGUGUGCAAUAGAGUUAAUCAAACCA